UACGUAGGGGGCAAGCGUUGUCCGGAAUCAUUGGGCGUAAAGAGCGUGUAGGCGGCCCGGUAAGUCCGCUGUGAAAGUCCAGGGCUCAACCCUGGGAUGCCGGUGGAUACUGUCGGGCUCGAGUCCGGAAGAGGAGUGUGGAAUUCCCGGUGUAGCGGUGAAAUGCGCAGAUAUCGGGAAGAACACCCGUGGCGAAGGCGGCUCUCUGGGACGGUACUGACGCUGAGACGCGAAAGCUAGGGGAGCGAACAGG
rnacentral:rRNA from 1 species